AGAAUUGGGCAAAUUCCCCGGAGGUCAGUUCUUGGAUCUUAGCCAUCUGGCCUGCUCCUCAUGGAUAACACAUUGCUAAAAUGACUUCAUUUGUUCACGUCGUGGGGGGUGAUGAUUUCUGAUGCUAUUAAAGUUGUUUUCCUUCUAACAGGCAGGCAAUGCCUUUCCUUUGACACGCGAAGAUGGGACAGUCAGUGAAGUAUGACCUCUCAGAGGCAUGCAUGAACGUUGUGGUCAGUCAAGCUGUUCUUGGGAGAGGAAUUGAAAGAUCAUGAAAGGGCAUUAGAGGAAUGGAACAUGCUAAGUUUCCAUUAGGGGAAGGUAGGAGUUGCACAUUUGAACAAUGGUCUUUAAUCACUACUCCUGGCAGGGGAAUGAAGAGGAAACCAAUAAAUCUGUCCAAGUCAAGUUUGUCAAAGGCUUGCCAUCAUUAUCAAGGGAAAGAAUGGAUUAAACCCUGAAGUUACUCAGAUGCAAGCUAUUAUCAUCUCUUGAAAACAAAGUACAGCUGAAUUAGCAUCCUAUAAGUCCCUAGCCUUCCAGUACUUGGAAGAAGGAUGAGGAUGAUGAUAACAGAAACACUCUCACCUUUUUUUACAAGUAAGUUUUACAUCUCUUCCCCAGUCCCAUGCAGCUGAAUCUUACCUUGUAACCAAGAACAGUUGAGCAAAAACAACCAAAACAGUGACUCAUCUCAUAAUAAACGCAAUGGUCUAUCCUUGUACUUUGUUGCA
rnacentral:lncRNA from 1 species